GGAUGCGAUCAUACCAGCACUAAAGCGCCGGAUCCCAUCAGAACUCCGAAGUUAAGCGUGCUUGGGCGAUAGUAGUACUAGGAUGGGUGACCUCCUGGGAAGUCCUCGUGUUGCAUUCC
rnacentral:rRNA from 2 species